rnacentral:rRNA from 1 species
CCUACGGGAGGCAGCAGUGGGGGAUAUUGCACAAUGGGGGGAACCCUGAUGCAGCGACGCCGCGUGGGUGAAGGAGUGCUUCGGCAUGUAAAGCCCUAUCGGCAGGGAAGAACCAGGAAGUUACCUGACUAAGAAGCCCCGGCUAACUACGUGCCAGCACCCGCGGGAAUACGUAGGGGGCGAGAUUUAUCCUGAUUCACUGGGUGUAAAGGGAGCGUAUACGGCCAUGCAAGCUAGGGGUGAAAGCCCGGGGGCCAAACCCGGGACUGCCCUUGACACUGGAUGGCUGGAGUGCGGGAGAGGCAGGCGGAAUUCCUGGUGUAGCGGUGAAAGGCGGAGAUAUCAGGAGGAACACCAGCGGCGAAGGCGGCCUGCUGGACCGCGACUGACGGUGAGGCACGAAAGCGUGGGGAGCGAACAGGAUUAGAUACCCUUGUAGUC